rnacentral:rRNA from 1 species
GUCCGCACGGUAACGAUGGAUGCCCGCUGUUGGUCUGAAUAGGUCAGCGGCCAAGCGAAGCAUUAAGCAUCCCACCUGGGAGUACGCCGGCAACGGUGAACUCAAGGAAUUGACGGGGCCCGGCACAAGCGGAGGAACAUGUGGUUUAAUUCGAUGAUACGCGAGGAACCUUACCCGGGCUUGAAUUGCAGAGGAAGGAUUUGGAGACAAUGACGCCCUUCGGGGUCGUCUGUGAAGGUGCUGCAUGGUUGUCGU